rnacentral:rRNA from 1 species
UUAAGCGACUAAGCGUACACGGUGGAUGCCCUGGCAGUCAGAGGCGAUGAAGGACGUGCUAAUCUGCGAUAAGCGUCGGUAAGGUGAUAUGAACCGUUAUAACCGGCGAUUUCCGAAUGGGGAAACCCAGUGUGAUUCGUCACACUAUCAUUAACUGAAUCCAUAGGUUAAUGAGGCGACCGGGGGAAAACUGAAACAUCUAAGUACCCCGAGGAAAAGAAAUCAACCGAGAUUCCCCCAGUAGCGGCGAGCGAACGGGGAGCAGCCCAGAGCCUGAAUCAGUGUGUGUGUUAGUGGAAGCGUCUGGAAAGGCGCGCGAUACAGGGUGACAGCCCCGUACACAAAAAUGCACAUGCUGUGAGCUCGAUGAGUAGGGCGGGACACGUGGUAUCCUGUCUGAAUAUGGGGGGACCAUCCUCCAAGGCUAAAUACUCCUGACUGACCGAUAGUGAACCAGUACCGUGAGGGAAAGGCGAAAAGAACCCCGGCGAGGGGAGUGAAAAAGAACCUGAAACCGUGUACGUACAAGCAGUGGGAGCACGCUUAGGCGUGUGACUGCGUACCUUUUGUAUAAUGGGUCAGCGACUUAUAUUCUGUAGCAAGGUUAACCGAAUAGGGGAGCCGAAGGGAAACCGAGUCUUAACUGGGCGUUAAGUUGCAGGGUAUAGACCCGAAACCCGGUGAUCUAGCCAUGGGCAGGUUGAAGGUUGGGUAACACUAACUGGAGGACCGAACCGACUAAUGUUGAAAAAUUAGCGGAUGACUUGUGGCUGGGGGUGAAAGGCCAAUCAAACCGGGAGAUAGCUGGUUCUCCCCGAAAGCUAUUUAGGUAGCGCCUCGUGAAUUCAUCUCCGGGGGUAGAGCACUGUUUCGGCAAGGGGGUCAUCCCGACUUACCAACCCGAUGCAAACUGCGAAUACCGGAGAAUGUUAUCACGGGAGACACACGGCGGGUGCUAACGUCCGUCGUGAAGAGGGAAACAACCCAGACCGCCAGCUAAGGUCCCAAAGUCAUGGUUAAGUGGGAAACGAUGUGGGAAGGCCCAGACAGCCAGGAUGUUGGCUUAGAAGCAGCCAUCAUUUAAAGAAAGCGUAAUAGCUCACUGGUCGAGUCGGCCUGCGCGGAAGAUGUAACGGGGCUAAACCAUGCACCGAAGCUGCGGCAGCGACGCUGAUGCGUUGUUGGGUAGGGGAGCGUUCUGUAAGCCUGCAAAGGUGUGCUGUGAGGCAUGCUGGAGGUAUCAGAAGUGCGAAUGCUGACAUAAGUAACGAUAAAAAGCGGGUGAAAAGCCCGCUCGCCGGAAGACCAAGGGUUCCUGUCCAACGUUAAUCGGGGCAGGGUGAGUCGACCCCUAAGGCGAGGCCGAAAGGCGUAGUCGAUGGGAAACAGGUUAAUAUUCCUGUACUUGGUGUUACUGCGAAGGGGGGACGGAGAAGGCUAUGUUGGCCGGGCGACGGUUGUCCCGGUUUAAGCGUGUAGGCUGGUUUUCCAGGCAAAUCCGGAAAAUCAAGGCUGAGGCGUGAUGACGAGGCACUACGGUGCUGAAGCAACAAAUGCCCUGCUUCCAGGAAAAGCCUCUAAGCAUCAGGUAACAUCAAAUCGUACCCCAAACCGACACAGGUGGUCAGGUAGAGAAUACCAAGGCGCUUGAGAGAACUCGGGUGAAGGAACUAGGCAAAAUGGUGCCGUAACUUCGGGAGAAGGCACGCUGAUAUGUAGGUGAAGUCCCUCGUCGGAUGGAGCUGAAAUCAGUCGAAGAUACCAGCUGGCUGCAACUGUUUAUUAAAAACACAGCACUGUGCAAACACGAAAGUGGACGUAUACGGUGUGACGCCUGCCCGGUGCCGGAAGGUUAAUUGAUGGGGUCAGCGCAAGCGAAGCUCUUGAUCGAAGCCCCGGUAAACGGCGGCCGUAACUAUAACGGUCCUAAGGUAGCGAAAUUCCUUGUCGGGUAAGUUCCGACCUGCACGAAUGGCGUAAUGAUGGCCAGGCUGUCUCCACCCGAGACUCAGUGAAAUUGAACUCGCUGUGAAGAUGCAGUGUACCCGCGGCAAGACGGAAAGACCCCGUGAACCUUUACUAUAGCUUGACACUGAACAUUGAGCCUUGAUGUGUAGGAUAGGUGGGAGGCUUUGAAGUGUGGACGCCAGUCUGCAUGGAGCCGACCUUGAAAUACCACCCUUUAAUGUUUGAUGUUCUAACGUUGACCCGUAAUCCGGGUUGCGGACAGUGUCUGGUGGGUAGUUUGACUGGGGCGGUCUCCUCCUAAAGAGUAACGGAGGAGCACGAAGGUUGGCUAAUCCUGGUCGGACAUCAGGAGGUUAGUGCAAUGGCAUAAGCCAGCUUGACUGCGAGCGUGACGGCGCGAGCAGGUGCGAAAGCAGGUCAUAGUGAUCCGGUGGUUCUGAAUGGAAGGGCCAUCGCUCAACGGAUAAAAGGUACUCCGGGGAUAACAGGCUGAUACCGCCCAAGAGUUCAUAUCGACGGCGGUGUUUGGCACCUCGAUGUCGGCUCAUCACAUCCUGGGGCUGAAGUAGGUCCCAAGGGUAUGGCUGUUCGCCAUUUAAAGUGGUACGCGAGCUGGGUUUAGAACGUCGUGAGACAGUUCGGUCCCUAUCUGCCGUGGGCGCUGGAGAAUUGAGGGGGGCUGCUCCUAGUACGAGAGGACCGGAGUGGACGCAUCACUGGUGUUCGGGUUGUCAUGCCAAUGGCACUGCCCGGUAGCUAAAUGCGGAAGAGAUAAGUGCUGAAAGCAUCUAAGCACGAAACUUGCCCCGAGAUGAGUUCUCCCUGACUCCUUGAGAGUCCUGAAGGAACGUUGAAGACGACGACGUUGAUAGGCCGGGUGUGUAAGCGCAGCGAUGCGUUGAGCUAACCGGUACUAAUGAACCGUGAGGCUUAACCUU